GUCUCUGUGGCGCAAUAGGCUAGCGCUUUCGGCUGUUAACCGAAAGGUUAGUGGUUCAAGCCCACCCAUAGGUG
rnacentral:tRNA from 1 species